UCGCGACACACGGUGUUUUUCCUUCCUAACACCUGUCACGGUCUGUAAUUAAACAUUUAUUUGUGUAAUAAUUAGAUGAGGGCGGAGCGAUAGGGGCCACCUCUCUCAGGCUCACCUUUGCAUCUUCUGUGCCUGUCACAGGACCCAGCGCAACAGUAGGUGGGCAUCGGUUACGGAGAUCAGUAACUCAAUAAAUGACUGACCUCUCCCCAGGAGAGGACAGUGAACUCUGUCCCUGGGGAUCGAACACAUGAGGGCACGAGGUGGAUAGACUGCCUCAUCCAGAUGCCUCCUUUCCCCAUCUGCAGCUCAGCACCCCUCCCAGCUGGACCAAGGCCAGACAUUUAUUAGCACAUCCUCAUUCACCAGUUGGCUUACCCAUGGAGGGUAACCCUUCAUCCUGGGUCAGUCAGGAAGGCUGGCGAUGAGUGGGUUUGGAGGGUACUUAUCCCGAUGGGGACUUCCACUCCCACCACACUGGCCUCUGGUUUCUUUGGUUUUUCUUCUGUGACAGGUGCUCUGCCCCAAAUGCCAGCCCCCUUGACGCUCUGCUCAGUAUCCACCGGUCUGUCCCUCUAGGGAACCGGCCCCCUGUCAUGGGACUGGGGUUUUAGUCCGUCACUUAGUGGCUGUGUGACCUUGAACAUGCUGCAUCUGCUCUCUGAGCCUUAGUUUCCUUAAUUCAUACAUAGGACCUAGAGCAUGGUGUUCUGUUACUACGCCAGGGAGCUCGGGGAACGAAUUAGAGACUACAGAUGGGAAGCCUUCCUCACCGAACGUAAAAAAACAAAAAAACAGAACCUGCCCACAAAUCUCCAUUUGGAAAGAGCAUCAUCUGAAGUGACAUCUGAAGGACAAAGAGGAAUUACUUUAAGAGAUAGAUAA
rnacentral:lncRNA from 1 species